AUUGAACGCUGGCGGCAUGCCUUACACAUGCAAGUCGAACGGUAACGCGGGGCAACCUGGCGACGAGUGGCGAACGGGUGAGUAAUGUAUCGGAACGUGCCCAGUAGUGGGGGAUAGCCCGGCGAAAGCCGGAUUAAUACCGCAUGAGACCUGAGGGUGAAAGCGGGGGAUCGCAAGACCUCGCGCUAUUGGAGCGGCCGAUAUCAGAUUAGGUAGUUGGUGGGGUAAAAGCCUACCAAGCCGACGAUCUGUAGCUGGUCUGAGAGGACGACCAGCCACACUGGGACUGAGACACGGCCCAGACUCCUACGGGAGGCAGCAGUGGGGAAUUUUGGACAAUGGGCGCAAGCCUGAUCCAGCCAUGCCGCGUGCGGGAAGAAGGCCUUCGGGUUGUAAACCGCUUUUGUCAGGGAAGAAAUCUUCUGAGCUAAUACCUCGGGAGGAUGACGGUACCUGAAGAAUAAGCACCGGCUAACUACGUG
rnacentral:rRNA from 1 species